CCGCCUCCAGGUUCAAGCGAUUCUCCUGCCUCAGCCUCCCAAGUAUCUGGGAUUACAGGUGCCCGCCACCAUGCCCAGCUAAUUUUUUGUAAUUUUAGUAGAGACAGGGUUUCACUAUGUUGGCCAGGCUGGUCUUGAAUGCCUGACUUCGUGAUCCAAUUGCCUCGGCCUCCCAAAGUGCUGGGAUUACAGGGGUGAGCCACCGUGCCUGGCCACAUCUCGGUAAUUUUUUUGUAUUUUUAAUGGAGACGGGGUUUCACCAUGUUGGCCAGGCUGGUCUCGAACUCCUAACCUCAAGUGAUCCACCUGCCUCAGCCUCCCAAAUUGCUGGCAAUACAGGCAUGAGCCACCACGCCUGGCCAGUACUUUAAUAUUUGAUAAUGCCAAUGGUGAAUAUUAACCUUUAUUACUACUUCAUGAGUACAAUUAACAAAGGCAUGAACACUAUUAACCACGGUUGUUAAAGCAUCGUGGUAUCUUUUUCCAAAGGUAGGCCUCAAUGCAGCAUGCCUCCUGUUAUUCAGGCGUCUGUAUGGUCACCUGCCACGCUGUCCUUGGUACUCACUUGACCUAGUAGGAAAUUACAGAAGUGAUACUCUGCUGACCCUGGGCCUAGGCUUUUUUUUUUUGAGACAGGGUCUCACCCUGUCACCCAGGCUGGAGUGCAAUGGCGCAAUCUCAGCUCACUGCAACCUCCACCUCCCAGGUUCAAGCAAUUCUUCUGCCUCAGCCUCUGGAGUAGCUGGGAUUACAGGCGCCACACCACCAUGCCUGGCUAAUUUUUUGUAUCUUUAGUAGAGACGGGUUUCCACCAUGUUGGCCAGGCUGGUCUCGAGUUCCUGCCCUCGUCAUCAGCCUGCCUCAGCCUCCCAAAGUGCUGGGAUUACAGGCGUGAGUCACCGCACCUGGCCGGGCCUAGGCUUUAAGGCCUGGUAGCUCCUGCAUUUGCACGUUUUGGUGCUCUGAGCAAACAUGUAACAAGUCCUGCUACCCUGCUAGAGGGACUACAUGGAGAGACCACAGGAGAGAGAAGAGCCCUGAGAUUAUCGGGGGUAGAGAGAGAGGCCUGGGUGCCUCAGCGCCCCAGCUGAGCCCAGGCUCCUACCAGACACAUGAGGGAAGCCAUCUUGAUGUUUCAGCCCCACCACUAAGCUCCUACCAGACACAUGAGGGAAGCCAUCUUGAUGUUUCAGCCCCACCAUUAUCUGACGGCAGCAGCACGUGAGGCCGCAAAGGAGACCAACAGAAAUAAUCAUCCCGCUGAGCUCCAGCUAACCCACAGAAUUGUCACCCACUUCCUGCUCAAGUUCCAGAAUAUCAAUCCCCAAAUUCCAAGAACUGGAGAGUGAGGAGGUGGAGAGGAGAGAGAGGAGGAUGAAGAGGAGAGAGAAGACAGCAAGACGUGUGGUUAUGACAUGGGUUGAAGCGGGAGCCGAAGGACCCCCUUUGGUCAGGGAAUCAAAGGUCUUUUAUACUCAUGAAUGUCAAAACUGAAAUUUGAAGUUUUUUUGUGCCACUGCUAUAAAUACCCUGCCUCUUCUUUCAUAUUUUCUUCCUUUUUUUUUUUUUUUUUUUUUUUUUAGUAAAGACUACUACUCACAAAAUGCUUUAUUUGGAUAGAGUUAUUAUGAAAAUAAAGAAGCUGAAUUCAUGGCUGGAUACUUCCUAGGGAAAAUUCAGAACUCCAAGGAGAAGACCCGUUCACUUGCUCCUUCCAGGCAGGUGACCUAGACUUGAACUUGGCCCAUUAAUUUGCCUUGGAAAAUGAACUGUGACCAGAUGUGACACACACCACUCCUGAACAGAACAUUUUAAGGGUAUUUCAAGUUUCCUGUGCCCUCUGCCAUGAGAAGGGCAUAUUUCCCAUAUGAGCUGCUCCUUUGGCCUGGGUCCCUGAAUGAGAAGACACUCGAAAUCGAUUCUCAAUGCAGCCUGGAGCAGAGCUGCAGCAGCCAAACACAGCCUCUGACCUGUAACAUGAGCAGGAGUAAAUAUUUGUCGUUGUAAACUACAAGAUUUGAGGUUGUGAAGCAGCGUAAUCUAGCAAAAGCCAACUAUGAAGUCCAAACUCUAAAAGCUUCCAGGCUGGGUGUGGUGGCUCACACCUGUAAUUCCAGCACUUUGGGAGGCUGAGGCGGGUAGACCAUUUGAGGUCAGGGGUUUGGGAUUAGCCUGGCCAAGAUGGUGAAACCCGUCUCUACUAAAAACACACACAAAAUUAGCCAGGCAUGGUGGCUGGUGCCUGUAGUCCCAUCUGCUUGGGGGCCUGAGGCAGGAGAAUCGCUUAAGCCCCGGAGGUGGAGGUUGCAGUGAGCCGAGAUCACACCACUGCAUUCCAGCCUGGCCAACACAGCAAGACUCUGACUCAAAAAUAAAAUAAAAUAAAAUAAAAUAAAAACUACCAGAAGGGAAGAAAGAAACCUGGUAACUUACAAAGAGACCCAAGUCAGACAAUGCCAUACUCUACAUCAGCAGUGCUGGGUAUUAGAAGGUAAUGGACAGUCUGUCUUCAAAGUUGUGAAACAAAAUUAUACCAAACUUUAAAAUCUACAAUGGGCUGGGAGUACUGGCACACACCUGUUGUCCUAGCCAGGUGGAGGCUGAGGUGGGACAAUUGCAUAAGCCCAGGAGUUUGUGACUUGCCUGGGCAACGUAGACAGACCCUGACUCUAAAAUAAUAAAAAUAAAAAUAAUCUGUAAUGGACAAAACUAUGAAGAUAUAUAUGCAAGGACCUGAAAAGCUUACCAUCCAUGUUCUCCUCCUGAAACAGACAAACAAAAAAUUCCAUUAUAUUUUUAUCCUACCAAAAUGAGAAGGAAAAAAAACACAAAAAACAAAAAGCAAACCUCUUUACCAUCAGUGAAGUGUACAGCGAAAUAUGAUGGUGGGGGUGUGAGUUCAUUUUUUUCUGGAGAAUUUAGCAAAACAUACCAAAAAUUCUAAAAAUGUUCCCACCUUUUGACUCAGCAAUUUUAUUUUUAGUAAGUUAUUUGAAGGAAAUUGGCAUUAAUGUGGGCAAAGAUUUAGCUACUAAGAGGUGGCAUACAGCCUUAUAUAUAAUAGUGAUAAUCAGAAAGAGCCUAAUGCAGGCCAGGCAUGGUGGCUCACACCUGUAAUCCCAGCACUUUGGGAGGCCAAGUGGGGAGGAUUGCUUGAGCCCAGGAGUUCAAGACCAGCCUGGGAAUCAUAGCAAGACCCCAUCUCUAAAAAAAAAAAGAAAGAAAGAGAAAGAAAAGAAAGAAAGAGAGAGAAAGAAAGAAGGAAGGAAAGAAAGAGCCUAAUGCAAAUACUAGGCUGGCAUUAACUAUGACAUUGUAACUUAAAAAAAUUAUUCCUUUAAAAUAAAUAAUUGAUGAAUAUCAUACAAAAUUUUAAGAUACAAAAGGCUAUUCCAUUAAAAAAAUAAACUUUUUUUCCAUCCUUAUCCUUCAGCCACUGAGUUUCCUCCUUGAAGGCAACUAAAAUGUUUCCCUUUCAAUCUAAUCCAUUCAGA
rnacentral:lncRNA from 1 species